rnacentral:rRNA from 1 species
UGUUGGGGGAGGAUACAAGCGAUAGGUCAAGUGUAUGGUUGAAAGCAUCGCGAAGAGCCUUACCAGGUCCCCAAUCAUAUGACAUCCUUUGAGAUAGUGCUUCCCCUUCGGGGGCAGAGUGACAGGUGGUUCAUGGUUGUCGUCAGCUCGUGUCGUGAGAUGUUGGGUUAAGUCCCUCAACGAGCGCAACCCUUGAUUUUAGUUGCCAGCAUUCAGUUGGGCACUCUAAGGUGACUGCCGGUGACAAACCGGAGGAAGGUGGGGAUGACGUCAAAUCAUCAUGCCCCUUAUGACCUGGGCUACACACGUGCUACAAUGGGCAGAACAAAGGGCAGCGAAGCCGCGAGGCUAAGCCAAUCCCACAAAUCUGUUCUCAGUUCGGAUCGCAGUCUGCAACUCGACUGCGUGAAGCUGGAAUCGCUAGUAAUCGCGGAUCAGCAUGCCGCGGUGAAUACGUUCCCGGGCCUUGUACACACCGCCCGUCACACCACGAGAGUUUGUAACACCCGAAGUCGGUGAGGUAACCUUUUUGAGCCAGCCGCCGAAAGGGGGUCCU